AGCAUUGUGCAGUGGCAGUAUCAUAGCCAAUGAAGUUUAUCUAAGGCAUAAUUAUUGCUAAUUGAAAACUUUUCCCUAGCCAGGUGAGGUAGCCCAUGCCUAUAAUCUUAGCACUCUGGGAAACAG
ensembl:snRNA U4 U4 spliceosomal RNA